AGCAGUAGCCGCGGGAAUACGUAGGUCCCGAGCGUUGUCCGGGUUUAUUGGGCGUAAAGGGAGCGCAGGCGGUUUAGUAAGUCUGAAGUUAAAGGCUGUGGCUUAACCAUAGUACGCUUUGGAAACUGUUUAACUUGAGUGCAAGAGGGGAGAGUGGAAUUCCAUGUGUAGCGGUGAAAUGCGUAGAUAUAUGGAGGAACACCGGUGGCGAAAGCGGCUCUCUGGCUUGUAACUGACGCUGAGGCUCGAAAGCGUGGGGAGCAAACAGGAUUAGAUACCCCAGUAGUCCCUGUCUCUUAUACA
rnacentral:rRNA from 1 species